AAUCACAUUUGAUUUCCUUCCCUCUCCCCGAAAAUCUUCCACCUCCCCCCUCGAUCGAGCCAGCCAGCGACCUCGUCGUCGCCACCACCACCAACCAGUUCCCCCUCGCCGACGCAACCAUCCCCCCGUGCGCCGAGAGCCCCGGAUCAGAUCCCCACCGCCCAGCCCAGCCCAGCGCUUCGCCCAUUCUCGGAUCCCGUCCCGGGCCGCGCGGAGCCGGCUUGACGGGGUCCAGGUGACGGCGGUGCCCCCCCCGCUCCCGCGGGCCAUUGCCGCUCCGCAUUGGGGCGCGCGCGCAGAGAUCUGAGGCCGGCUGGGAGGCGGCGGGGAUGGGGCGCCGGUGGGCCCCGGGGAUCUGCGCGGUGGCGCUGCUCUGGCUCGCCGCGGCCGCAGCCGGAGAUCCCGAUCCCGACGAGCUCGAGCGCGCGUUUCCGAUUGUGGAGCCAGAUUAUGGCCACACUAAGCUCCGUCUGUCAGAACAAGGUCUUGAGGCCAUUCGGAGGAUCGAAAAUCCUAUCGCUAUUGUUGGUGUCAUUGGUCCAUAUCGAUCUGGAAAGUCUUUUCUUCUGAACCAACUUCUCUCCUUAUCAUGUGAUAAAGGUUUUGGAGUUGGUCAUAUGCGGGAUACUAAAACUAAAGGUAUAUGGAUUUGGGGUAAACCUGUUGAGAUGGAUGUUGAUGGCACCAAAGUAUCUGUCCUUUAUCUUGACACAGAAGGAUUUGAGAGUGUUGGGAAGUCCAAUGUAUACGAUGAUAGGAUAUUUGCUUUGGCGACAGUCUUAAGUUCUGUGCUUAUCUAUAACCUUCCUGAGACGGUGCGUGAAGCUGAUAUAUCUAGGCUCUCAUUUGCUGUUGAAAUAGCUGAAGAAUUCUAUGGAAGAGUGAAGGGAGAAGAGAUUGCUUUUGAGCCAGCAAAGCUUCUCUGGCUUAUCCAGAGGGAUUUCCUGCAAGGAAAAUCAGUUCAGCAAAUGGUCAAUGAAGCCCUCCAACGGGUGCCUAAUGAUAAUGGGAACAAAUAUAUUGACGAGGUCAAUCAAAUCAGGGAUUCGUUGGCAGUUAUGGGAAACAACAGCACUGCUUUUAGCUUGCCCCAGCCUCAUCUACAAAGAACAAAGCUAUGCGACAUGGAUGACAAAGAGCUUGAGCCGUUAUACGUUACAAGGCGAGAGCAAUUGAAGCAGGUUGUUGGAUCCAUCAUUAAACCUAAAUUUGUGCAGGGAAAAACUCUGAAUGGAAAGGAAUUUGUGUCCUUUCUGCAGCAGAUACUUGAAGCUUUGAAUAAAGGAGAGAUUCCAUCAACCGGAUCUCUUGUUGAAAUUUUCAACAAGGCUAUUCUUGAACGCUGUCUGAAGGUAUAUAAGGAAAAACUGGAGGGCUUACGUCUACCUGUACCAGUAGAGAAACUGCAGCAAAUUCAUGAGGUGGCGAAUGGCGAAGCCAAAUUGCUGUUUGAUAAACAGCACUUUGGUAAGCAUCAUGCUGUACAGUCAAUCCUCAAGCUUGAAGAUGAGAUUACAAAGGUGUACAAAAACUUCCUUCUAGCUAAUGAGUAUCAAUCGUCCAAGCUUUGCGAAGCACGUUUUUCGGAAUGUGAAGAUCAAAUGGAUCACCUUCAAGUCUUGAAACUUCCUUCCAUGGCAAAGUUCAAUGCAGGCUUUUUUUACUGCAAUCGGACUUUUGUAAUGGAAUGUGUGGGGCCUGCGAAGGAAAGAUAUGAUCAUAGGAUGUCAAAGAUGCUCCUCAAAUCUCGUGCUCUUUUCAUCAAGGAGUACAAUAACAAGCUCUUCAAUUGGUUGGUGACCUUCGCUCUGGUCAUGGUCGUGCUUGGGCGCUUUGUGAUCAAGUUCUUUCUACUUGAAAUUGCUGCAUGGGUAAUGUUUAUCUUCCUGGAGACAUAUACAAGAAUGUUCUGGUCAGCAGAAUCGCUUUACUAUAAUCCAGCUUGGCACAUAAUCGUUUCAUCCUGGGAAACCAUCGUGUACAGUCCACUUCUCGAUCUGGACAGAUGGGCCAUCCCCAUAGCCUUGUUGCUAUUAUUUUGGCUUUUUUACUGGCGUUGCUUUGCUAGAAGGAAACGUGGCAGCCGCUCGGUGCUGCCACUGUACAAGAACUCUCACAAGAACUCCAGUCGCCCUAGAUCAGACUGAUCACAUACAUGGGUUUGUUUCGGCAGUGGAGGUACAAAAUAUCAUCCCCAAAAGAGAUAGAAGAACAAGAGGAUAGUUUGCUACUGUUAUGGCUGAUGACGGUUGCCGUAACCCCUGUGCUGCGUCUCGGAUUCGUUUUGGCUGAUGAAGAGAUGGGAGUUUUGGCGUCUGGUGCUUGCGCUUAGCGUUUGUUGUAACAUGAAUAUGUUUAUGUGCUUUAUGUAGCAUAGGAUUUUCUUACGAGGUACGGCCUCAUUCAUUGUUUAUUGUUCGCUUUGCGAACAAACCUCAUAUAUGAAUUGGUUUUCUUAAGCCAUAGUGGGCAUAAUUUCUGAACAGACUGUGAUGGACCUUACAUUUUUGCCGUAAUGGGCAAUGGAAUCCCUUGGUUUGGGCAUUUCUC
rnacentral:rRNA from 1 species